rnacentral:tRNA from 1 species
GCGCCCGUAGCUCAGUGGAUAGAGCGUCUGGCUACGGACCAGAAGGUCGGGGGUUCGACUCCCUUCGGGCGCGCCA